UAGUUGAGGGAGUAUUCAAAUAUAUUAGGAAAAACUUCAAAUACCCUAUCCGUGGUUUCGCACUUUUUCACUUUAGUACCAUAUAAUUUAAAAUGUAUCAAGUUAGUACCUAUGGUUUCGCACUUUUUCCCUUUAGUACCUUGUGAUUUAAAGUGUAUCAAGUUAGUAUCUGUGGUUUUAUUUUUGUAUCAAAUUAGUACCCUGUGGUUUCAUUUUUCACUUUUUAUUAUCCAUUUCGAGAUAUUUUUUUCGUUAAAUCAGUGACAAAGUUUAAAUUAAAUGGUAGUAAAAUGAAUAUUCGAUAAGCAUAGGUAGGAUAUUUAAAGUUUUUUGUAUAUAAUUUAACGAAAUAUUAAACCACAGGGUACUAAAGUGAGAAAGUGCGAAACCACAUGAUACUAAUUUGAUACAUUUUAAACCACAUGGUACUAAAGUGAGAAAAUGCGAAACCACAGCUAACUUGAUACACUUUAAACCACAUGAUACUAAAAUGAGAAAGUACGAAACCACAGAGGGGUAUUUGAAAUUUUCCCAAUAUAUUAACCAUAUAAGAAUUGGACUUUCACAGUUCCCUCGUAUGAAAAAAUCUAAUUAGUUAUCUCAAAUAUCCUCUUGUAUUUUCAUCCACGUAAAGAAAGAGCUUGUAACGAAUUUGUUAUGGAAUCUUUUGUAUUUCAUUUUUAGAAGAAUUAGGGUCUGUGGGCUGAGGCUGAGAAAGGCCCAAGCCAGUCAGCCCAUGGUAUAUGGCUCAAUUUGUGUGGCAUUAUUAAUAUACCAGUUAAUUACCCGCGCGAUGCUGCGGAUUUAAAAUAUUUUAACUUCAAAUUUUAAUUAAAAUAUUUAUAUUAUUUUAAUUUUUAACUAUUAAUUAUAUAAUUUUAAAAAAAAUUUGAAUAAAAAUAAUGUAAAUUGGUUUAUGUGCUACAAAAUUUUUUGUAAGAAUUUGUAAGUAACUAAAUAAUUUUAUAAAGGAAU
rnacentral:lncRNA from 1 species